UUCAUUAUGGACUAGACUUUGUUCAAAGUAGUCUAUAGGUAUUAACUCCUCAUAAUCGUCCUACAUGUUAAGUACUUUUAUUCCCAUUUUAAAGAUAAGGAAAUUGGGUCAGAGAAAGGUCAAGAAACUCCCCAAAGUUCCCACAGCUGGCAAGCAGCAAAACUAGGUUUUGAAAUCAGUCUGGUGUAGAACCCAGGCUCAUAACACAGAAACUUCCUCACUUGGUGAGAACCUGCUAGUCUUGAAUUGAAGCUGCAUUCCACUUGUUCACCUGUCCACACAGGAGACAAAGAGGCAGACACAUGCCUGCAGAGGACCUUGGUCAGAUUUCCAUCCAAGAUCAUUGUCAUCCUGGGAAAUGAUUUAUCUGGCACAGAGGCACCACCUCUCACGUUUUUGCUGUCACCCUGUGGCCAACAUCUGCUGUUUCCCUCCAUCUAAUACAAGAUAUAUGGGCUGUGGACAUAGCCUACAGGUUUGAGUGAAGCUCCAGACUCUAAGUCAGACCAGAAGCUGUGGAGAGACCCUCGCUGAGGCCCACCAGCUCCUUCCCUGAUGUCCUAGGAGGCCACAAAGGCAGCAAAGCUGUGACUCAUGACUUACGUUAGGCCAACAUGCUGUCGCGCUAAGAAAUCCAGCAGGGUCUCUUUUUCAUUUUCAUGGAUGUACCUGUAUGUUGCAUGUGAGGAGACGUGUCUGCUGGUGCAGGCAGAGAAGGAAGGGGUGACACGGAUAGAGCACUUGUCACUGAAGGCUGGAUCCAGCUGGGUACCGUGGAUACAAACACCACUUACGGGGCUGUGUGUCAUGGGCCUGAGGAUGUUUGUUUGGCUCCUGUCUCCCCAGCAUUGCUCACCACGCCAUCAACAUCUUGAUUCUGCCUAAUCCGCAGAAUCUGAGAACCUUGUGCAGCUCCUUGUCCCUCACCUUCUGCCUCAAAUUGAGGGAGAACCCAUGCAACCAGACAGGAAGGCCUGAUUUAUUCUGGAAAAGAGUCGCAAGUACCCUGGGUCAGAAUGUGAAUAUCUAGUAGUUGAUGAGUGGAAGUCAGGGAAGUAGAUAUGUUCAAGCAGCCAGUUUUUGACUGUCUGCUGAUGCUUGGGACUGAACAUGUAGGUGUCAACAAUAGACAAAGCCGGGUGGAAGGCAGGCUCGUAAACAUGGGAGGAAGCACCCAAAAAGUACUGUUAGUGGGUCGCUUGGUGCUGAUGCCCAUUCAUGCAUUUAUUAAAAAAUACAUUUUAAGCGCCUACUAUGGGUCACUGUAGCAGAAGACUCAGCUCAAGUAUCUGUGCCUGGUCUUGCAUCAGGGGCAGUGGGGGACAACAUACAUCUAAACAGAUAAAUGCAGUAGAGUAUUCCUGAUCUGAUGAUGGGGAGGUUCUGACGUGGAGCUGUGGGGGCCCGAAGGACAGCGCAGCCCCUUGUACCUUGCAGGUAGGGUGGAGGGACAGAUGCAUUUUCAUGCACAACAUGGAACUUCAAAGGUGAGGAGGUAACUGUAGGCAGUGAUGAGUCUAGACAUGAACUCUCAGUAGAGGGAGGAAAUGGCACAAAGGGGGUGCAUAAAGGAAGAGUAAGGGAUGCCGGGAGUGGUUUCACUAGUGGACUUGGCCUGUGUGUUGGGCUGGAAAUGGGGGAACAGAGAGCUGGGAUGGGUGAGUGGUCAAGGGCUGUAGGUUUAGACUUAUCUCACGGGUGAUGCUUGGGAGGGACCACAAAUCAUGGCUUUGCAUUUUAUUGUAUUUCAAUUUUUUGAUAUUAAAAAAUCCAUAUUCUAGUUAGGUUGAAAUACAUGAUACAAAAUCAUUCUGUUGUAUCAAAAAUAAUAGCAAUAUUUUUUGUAUUAUCCCUAGAUAAACAUCUGCAAAUAUUCCCAUUUAUGGAAGCAAGUUCAUUACUAUAAAUCAAAACAAGGCAGUAGAUAUAGCCAUGGAGAAACCUGUGCCUUGGACUUUUAAAAAGUCACAGUGGGACACCUGGGUGGCUCAAGUGAUUAAGCACCUGACUCUUGGUUUCAG